ensembl:lncRNA
CCAGCUAAACCUGCCAUACGAGCACAGUAUGGUCGCCAUAUGCGCGUCUUCUAGGCCUGUGGCCCAGUUGAAAUAUCUGACCUACUUCACAUCGCCAUAGUGGCAUUAGGGUCUUUCAUACAGAGAGAUGAAGGUGUGUAUGUUGGAUAAGGUGUGCUGUGAUGAUUGAUGAGGUUUCCUGCGGCUUUCUCUCUGCACGGCCUUCACAAGAGGAGCAAAACAGAAUGACUUUGUCCUGAUAUCUCAGAGACUACCCUACUAAUGCUGCUACACUAAUAUUAAGGAAUCUAGACUUGGAAAGUGUUGAUUUACCAAUUUAAGCUUGAGAAUCUAACGCCAUUGCCGGUAUAGAUAAUAGUUGGCCAUGCACAUCUCUGCUGUCUAAGCAGGGCUAGAGGAAGUAGGUGUCCCUUUUGGCUGUUUACACAAAUCAUCAUAAACAAAACAGACUCUCUUUUUCUUCUUCUACUGCUGCAGGCCUCAGCAUUUCAGUUGCCAUGGUGUUGCUGGUAGUGCCCUCCUGAUUGGUUGUUGGACCCUGGUUUUAAAUAAGCAAAAACUGCAUUUACAGCAAUGCAGUUACACUGGAUGGCGAUGGGGCAAUGCACUGUACCAGGACAAACAUAAAAAUAUUUAUAUACAUCACGUACAAUUUUGAAAAGUAUAGAUCGGCUUAAAGGAGAGUUGUGUAAUGUUGAUCAGUAAGAAGAAUGUUACAGUAACAAAUUGGUGCCACUGAGGCUAAUAAAGCACAAUUUCCAGCGAAAACAAAACUCAACAAGUGAAAUGUAUUAUCUAUUUAAUAAUCCUUGUCUUUACUGUGAACAGCCAAGAGUUGUGUGUCCUAAAACUCUUUGUAUAUAACAGCGAAUAUGCACUGUACAUGAGAAGCUACUAAAAUCUACCAUCUGCCAUGGGCUCUGGUUCUGCGUUCUUGGAACAACAGCAGCUUAAACCGCUUCAAGGAAAGAUGGUAUACAGUACAAGAUGUGGGGAAACAAAAAUACAGAAAAAUGCAAAACUUGAUUCAAUUUGGAUUUUGUUCAUAAAUAUAACACUGAUGGCCUCUCAUCUCAUCUUAAACCCAACUAAAAGCACACCACUGUGUGAUUCCAUUCUAUACACUAAUGCUGUCUUUGUAACAAAUUCUUAUCAUGAUGCGACAGUCUUAAAGCAUUGCUGAUUAUAUACAAUACAAAAGGGUGCAAACACUGAUACUUUACGACAACCCAAGUUUUCCAGCAUAACAAGGUGAAAAAUAAAACGACUGGGACAUAUACUGGUUUAACUCAGUUUGAUAUCGAUGUGUGCAGGUCUCCUUUUGGGAACGCACAUACAUGAGACCAUCAGUUGCGAGAGAACAUACACACAUCCCUGAGUGGACUGAACGUCCUGAAUGCAAUAUGUGAGGUCAGUCGAUUAUCUAAACUGUUAAAAGACACUGUCGGUCAGGGAAAACUCAAGGGCUGAUGGUCAUGCAGAGGGGACGGGCACAUAACCAGUCAGAACUGACCGGAUCAUGCUUUUGGCUAGGUGAACCCCACAUUAAAAAUGACCAUGUGUAUGAAAGGCCCUGAACAAAACAUUCAGAUUAAUGGCAUUUAGGAAUACACACACAUAAACAAAUUAUUUUAUAAAUAGUCAGCAUGGCAUAAAAGAAAACGGCAUUGAUGUUUAAGAAAGGUACAAAAAGAAAAAAAAAAAAAGUUUAUAAUAUCAAUUCCUAAAGGGUCAGAGCUAUUUUACAACAUAGUUUGCUACUGUAAAGAAGGUUAUCUGGUGUUUGGCACAUGCUGUAACAUAAAAGGUUUGCAUUAUAUACAUAGUAACAGCUAUUUCCUUGUGGCUUCCCUUUAUUGGAUGCAUUAACCGUUAAAGGGAUACUCCACCCCAAAAUGAAAAUUUUGUCAUUAAUCACUUACCCCCAUGUCGUUCCAAACCCAUAAAAGCUCCGUUCGUCUUCGGAACACAAUUUAAGAUAUUUUGGAUGAACACCUGGAGGCUUGUGACUGUCCCAUAGACUGCCAAGUAAAUAGCAGUGUUAAGGUCCAUAAAAGGUAUGAAAGUCAUCGUCAGAAUACUCCAUCUGCCAUCAGACGUGCAACCUGGGUUAUAUGAAGCGACAGGGACACUUUUUGUAAGCGAAAAAAAUAAAAUAAAAUAACGACUUUAUUCAA